GGCCGUCACUGUCUCUCUUCCACAGACAGGGAAACCGUGUCACACAGCAGUGAUGGACCAGAGGAGCCCGCUGUGGCGGGGCAGACAGUUGCCCUUGGCAGUGCUGUUUGUUCUCUCCAGACAGCUUGAACUGUACCCACCUGGCCCAACGCUCCACUCUGCAGAUGGGGAACGUGGGGUCUGGAAUAUGGGCCCCUCUUUAAGAGAGCGCCUGUCCCCGCCUCUCAGAACCUCUCUCAGGAAUCACAACCUUUGAGCUGAUGGGUACAGGGAGCAAGUCCAAGCCUCCUUUGGGGAAACUGAGGUCCAGAGACCAAGCUUCCAGAUGCUACUCCCCAGCCAAAGCCCUGCCCCCAUAUCCCCCCCCAACCCGGCUCCUGGUGAGAGCGCCGGGGGCACAGGGCCAGGGGGGCGCUGGUAGCAGAGGAGACGUGUGAUCAUCAAGCCACGGGGCUUUGGGGCCAGGCAGCCUAGGUCAGAGUUCCUGGCUCUGUCCUCACACGCUGGGGAACCCCACUCUCCGGCUAUUUCCUUUCCUGUGGGAAGUGGCCGUGGCCCUCACACACACACAUACACACACACCCCAGGGUGUCAGGGGAGAGGACUGAACAGCUCUGCGGCAUGGAGGGGGAUCUGACAUGUCAACACUAACCCCACCCUAGGUGCCAUCCUCCUGAGGAGAAUGCUGGGAUAGUCACUUAGGCCCCUGCCAGCUUCACAGCCCUGGGCCCCAAGCGCCUGUGACGGGACAAUAAGGAAACACACACCCGUGCUUGGAACUCAUAUCAGUGGCCCCCCCAGAUCAGUCAUGGCCUCUGAUUAAGAUCAUCCUCAGGAUAAAAAAAAUAAUUAAAAACGAAACAAACAAACAUAACAGCGGGAAAUAAUAAAAUCCUAAUACUGCG